AUUGAACGCUGGCGGCAGGCCUAACACAUGCAAGUCGGACGGUAGCACAGAGAGCUUGCUCUCGGGUGACGAGUGGCGGACGGGUGAAUAAUGUCUGGGGAUCUGCCCGAUAGGGGGGGAUAACCACUGGAAACGGUGGCUAAUACCGCAUAACGUCGCAAGACCAAAGAGGGGGACCUUCGGGCCUCUCACUAUCGGAUGAACCCAGAUGGGAUUAGCUAGUAGGGGGGGUAAUGGCCCACCUAGGCGACGAUCCCUAGCUGGUCUGAGAGGAUGACCAGCCACACUGGAACUGAGACACGGUCCAGACUCCUACGGGAGGCAGCAGUGGGGAAUAUUGCACAAUGGGCGCAAGCCUGAUGCAGCCAUGCCGCGUGUAUGAAGAAGGCCUUCGGGUUGUAAAGUACUUUCAGCGGGGAGGAAGGCGAUGUGGUUAAUAACCGCGUCGAUUGACGUUACCCGCAGAAGAAGCACCGGCUAACUCCGUGCCAGCCGCCGCAGUAA
rnacentral:rRNA from 1 species